AAUCCCAUUUCUGUUUUCUGCUCUUCAUGGUGUUUUGGAUCUACAUUAUGCCCAGCUGAGACUAUUAAGGUAUAUGAGAGAUCUGUUGCAAGGAUUUUAGAAACUUCAUUGACGUCAAGAAUAUAGAGUGAUCUGUUCCUUGUGGAUUUAAGUAUGUUGCCUGUGGCCAUCCUGCAUCAUUAGAGGAA
rnacentral:lncRNA from 1 species